rnacentral:rRNA from 1 species
AACGAACGCUGGCGGCAUGCCUAACACAUGCAAGUCGAACGAGACCUUCGGGUCUAGUGGCGCACGGGUGCGUAACGCGUGGGAACCUGCCCUUAGGUUCGGAAUAACUCCCCGAAAGGGGUGCUAAUACCGGAUAAUGUCUCCGGACCAAAAAUUUAUCGCCGUUGGAUGGGCCCGCGUUGGAUUAGCUAGUUGGUAGGGUAAAAGCCUACCAAGGCGACGAUCCAUAGCUGGUCUGAGAGGAUGAUCAGCCACACUGGGACUGGGACGCGGCCCAGACUCCUGCGGGAGGCAGCAGUGGGGAAUAUAGGACAAUGGGCGGAAGGAUGAUCCAGCAAUGCCGGGUGAGUGAUGAAGUCCGUAGGGAAGUAAAGCUCUUUUACCCGGGAUGAUAAUGACGGUACCGGGAGAAUAAGCACCGGCUAACUCCGUG